UAGAUGUUUUUUAUAUUUUUUUUAGCUUUAGAUAUUAUUAGCGCUACUGCUUACUUUAUAGUGAAAAAUACAUACAUACAUAGAAAACACUGAACGAAUUUGUAAUUGCGAUUACUGGAAUAAUGUGUAGGCUAGUUAGUUUUUUUCAUACGGACAAGCAGUGGAUGUCGUGUUAUUUGGAUAUAAGUGUGUAUGAGUGUAUGAGGUAGUGUGAGGUAGUGUGAGGUUGUAUGAGGUGGUGUAGUCAGCAUGUAGCACAUAGCACAUUGCAGCUCGGAGCGAGCGCGCAGUCGUGUGAGCAGAGUGUACGUGCAGUGUGAGGUAGUGUGAGGUAGUGUAGUCAGCAUGUAGCACAUAGCACAUUGCAGCUCGGAGCGAGCGCGCAGUCGUGUGAGCAGAGUGUACGUGCAGUGUGAGGUUGUAUGAGGUAGUGUGAGGUAGUGUAGUCAGCAUGUAGCACAUAGCACAUUGCAGCUCGGAGCGAGCGCGCAGUCGUGUGAGCAGAGUGUACGUGCAGUGUGAGGUAGUGUGAGGUAGUGUGAGGUGGUGUGAGGUGGUGUAGUGAGCAUGUAGCACAUAGCACAUUGCAGCUCGGAGCGAGCGCGCAGUCGUGUGAGCAGAGUGUACGUGCAGUGUGAGGUAGUGUGAGGUAGUGUAGUCAGCAUGUAGCACAUAGCACAUUGCAGCUCGGAGCGAGCGCGCAGUCGUGUGAGCAGAGUGUACGUGCAGUGUGAGGUAGUGUGAGGUUGUAUGAGGUAGUGUGAGGUGGUGUAGUCAGCAUGUAGCACAUAGCACAUUGCAGCUCGGAGCGAGCGCGCAGUCGUGUGAGCAGAGUGUACGUGCAGUGUGAGGUAGUGUGAGGUGGUGUAGUCAGCAUGUAGCACAUAGCACAUUGCAGCUCGGAGCGAGCGCGCAGUCGUGUGAGCAGAGUGUACGUGCAGUGUGAGGUAGUGUGAGGUUGUAUGAGGUAGUGUGAGGUGGUGUAGUCAGCAUGUAGCACAUAGCACAUUGCAGCUCGGAGCGAGCGCGCAGUCGUGUGAGCAGAGUGUACGUGCAGUGUGAGGUAGUGUGAGGUGGU